GACGAACGCUGGCGGCGUGCUUAACACAUGCAAGUCGAACGGAAAGGCCCCUUUGGGGGUACUCGAGUGGCGAACGGGUGAGUAACACGUGAGUAACCUGCCCUUGACUUCGGGAUAACUUCAGGAAACUGGGGCUAAUACCGGAUAGGAAUCCUUGCUGCAUGGUGGGGGUUGGAAAGCUUCGGCGGUUUUGGAUGGACUCGCGGCUUAUCAGCUUGUUGGUGGGGUAGUGGCUUACCAAGGCGUUGACGGGUAGCCGGCCUGAGAGGGCGACCGGCCACAUUGGGACUGAGAUACGGCCCAGACUCCGACGGGAGGCAGCAGUGGGGAAUAUUGCACAAUGGGCGGAAGCCUGAUGCAGCAACGCCGCGUGCGGGAUGACGGCCUUCGGGCUGUAAACCGCUUUCAGCAGGGGCGAAGCUUGUGGUGACGGUACCUGCAGAAGAAGCACCGGCUAACUACGUG
rnacentral:rRNA from 1 species